CCUCCAUGUCCUCUCCCCCGGCCUCCUCUGAUUCUCACUCUUCUCACUCUUACUGCUCCUUCCAUUGUACUCCACACAGACAGCGUACCUGUGACUUAUUUAUAGUGCUUAGGCUGAUUGCAAAGUUAACUAAUUUUCUAAAACAGUUUUCACAUGUGAAAGUGAGCCAGACAGUUGGCAAAAUAGUGUUAAUGAUAGCCAUACAUGUGUAUAAUUUUGCUAGGAGUGUGUUGGAAAUUUGGUAAUUGAGUGUAAGCAGUGAGUUG